GGGUGUUUUAGUAUUCCGGCUCAACGAACCGAUAAUGGUGAUCGUCUGUUGCAACUAUGCUCAGACAAUCGUUUAUUUUUGG
rnacentral:tRNA from 11 species